AAGCGAAGGUCCCAGCGGAGAGGUAAUGGACUCUGACAUUGAGACCUCUCCAACACUAACUUAUGUAUCCUUCGCACAAUCACUCGCCGAAUCGUAAGAUGCCCAGAAUUUUCUCACAUUUUUGGAGCAUCUGGAACCCUCGGCUAUAUAAUA